GGCAACUUGGCCGAGCGGUCUAAGGCGCCAGACUCAAGUGACGAGGUCCCACCUUCCGAUCUUCCCCCCACGGCGGGGGUGUAUUCUGGUCUCGAAAGAGGCGUGAGUUCGAAUCUCACAGUUGUCA